CCUCUUUUUAUUUUGGAUUGAGACUACUUCUGUUGGUCAUCUCGGACUGUUGUCCCGUAUUCUUGUCGUGAGUUUUUUUUGUUGCUGACUUGAAUUGCAUUCUGAACUGAAUUCCCUUAUUCUCCAGGUGGCGCCUGAUUGCCAAUAUUUGGACUGCAUUCUCGUGCUUUCCAUGUGGGCGCCUGAUUGCCAAAACUUUAACUGUAUUCACGUGCUCUCCAGUUGGGCGCCUGAUUGCUAAAACUUGAAUUGUAUUCUCGUGCUCUCCAGGUGGGCGCCUAAUUGCUGAACUUGAACUGUAUUCCCGUGCUCUCCAGGUAGGCGCCUGAUUGCCAAAACAUUGAACUAUAUUCAUGUGCUCUCUAGGUGGGCGCCUGAUUGCCAAAACUUUAACUGUAUUCUCUUGCUCUCCAGGUGGCCGCCUGAUUGCCAAACUUGAAUUGUAUUCCCGUGCUCUCCAGGUGGGCGCCUGAUUGCUGAAUUUUAACUGUAUUCCCUUGCUCUCCAGGUGGGAGCCUGAUUGCUGAACUCGAACUGCUUCUCCUUAUUCUCCAGGUGGGUGCCUGAUUGCUGAAUUUGAACUGCUUCUCCUUGUUCUCUAGGUGGGUGCCUGAUUGCUAAACUUGAACUGUAUUCCCUUGCUCACCAGGUGGGUGCCUGAUUGCCAAAAUUUGAACUGUAUUCCCGUGCUCUCCAGGUAGGCACCUGAUUGCUGAACUUGAACUGUAUUCCCUUGCUCUCCAGGUGGGCGCCUGAUUGCC
rnacentral:lncRNA from 1 species